rnacentral:lncRNA from 1 species
CCAAUUUCAAUUCUUGUGUUUGGAUACUAUCUUUUCUGUAGAAUUAGAAUCGAAUUGCAAUUCCAAAUCGAUCGAAUUCCAUGGUUCCAAUUCUUUGGCUGGACCAAAGAAUUCCAAUUCUAAUUCCACGACUGAACUCCUCAAUCGGGUCAACACGCGGGUCUUGUACGGGCAAAAUCUCAAAAAUGGGUCACCUAUAAAAGUGAUGGAAAAAACUCAAACCUCUCUUCUCUUUCCAUUAUCAAUCGCCAUAUCUAAUGCUCUGUUGGAGCAUUCCUGCCGCCGCCUCCUUCACUUGUGCUACCUUCACCCAUCACUAAAGGCUUGAACUGAGGCGAUGAAGAAGAGAGAAGUGAGGAGUGGCGCAGGCCAACGUAAGACAGGACCUGAGUCAGCGACGACGUGCCUCUGAUGAUCUGAACGAAGAUCUGGAAGAAGAAAGCCAGCCAGUUUAAUAGUGCUCUCCAAACUUGUAUAGUCUUUUUUCCCAUCAUGCCUAUCAUUAGUUACUUAGUCCAUCAUGUCUAUAUUUAAUUUGUUUUCUAACAUGUUCAAAUAUUAUAAUUGAUAAGAUGAAAUUGCAAAAAAAAGUUGUGAAUCCUUUUGGAAAGUGUGUUUUUUUUUUUAGUGUUUAUAUAAAAUUUUACUGUAAUUUACAAUAAAAGUAGUAGAAAAACUUGUGCAUUUUUAGUGUUUGGAAAAAUUAAAAACUUUCCUUUUUUAUUUUUUAUUUUCUUUCUUGUUUUUCCUUCAUCUCCUUCCUCCUCCCUCCUCACUAUUGCCUCCCACCGCUGCCACUCUCUGGUGGGUGUUUUUUUUUUUAUGUUUUUGGUUGUGUAUUUUAAAAAUUUUGAAUUGUUU